rnacentral:rRNA from 1 species
GUCCACGCUGUAAACGAUGGGUGCUAGGCGUCGGGGGAGCGACCCUCCCGGUGCCGUCGCUAACGCAAUAAGCACCCCGCCUGGGGAGUACGGCCGCAAGGUUGAAACUCAAAGGAAUUGACGGGGGCCCGCACAAGCGGUGGAGCAUGUGGUUUAAUUCGAUGCAACGCGAAGAACCUUACCUGGGCUUGACAUGUACGUGAAAGCCGGUGGAAACACCGGUCCUCCUUCGGGACGCGUACACAGGUGCUGCAUGGCUGUCGU